rnacentral:snRNA from 1 species
AUCUGUUCUUAUCGGUUUAAUAUCUGAUAUGAUCUCUAUCUGAGAUCUUUAUAUUAAAUGGAUUUUUGGAGCAGGAGGUCGGAAAAGGAGCUUGCUCCGUCCACUCCACGAAAAAAAAAUUC